rnacentral:rRNA from 1 species
UGGGGAAUCUUGCACAAUGGGGGCAACCCUGAUGCAGCGACGCCGCGUGAGCGAUGAAGCCCUUCGGGGCGUAAAGCUCUUUCGACCGGAACGAUAAUGACGGUACCGGGAGAAGAAGCUGCGGCUAACUACGUGCCAGCAGCCGCGGUAAUACGUAGGCAGCAAGCGUUGUUCGGAGUUACUGGGCGUAAAGAGUGCGUAGGCGGUUUUCUAAGUUCGGUGUGAAAUCUCCCGGCUUAACUGGGAGGGUGCGCCGAAGACUGGGAAGCUGGAGUGUGGGAAAGGCAGGCGGAAUUCCUGGUGUAACGGUGAAAUGCGUAGAUAUCAGGAGGAACACCGGCGGUGUAGACGGCUUGCUAGACCAUAACUGACGCUGAGGCACGAAAGCGUGGGUAGCAAACA